rnacentral:rRNA from 1 species
AAAUGAAUUGACGGGGACCCGCACAAGCAGCGGAGCAUGUGGUUUAAUUCGAAGCAACGCGAAGAACCUUACCAAGGUUUGACAUCGUCUGACAGAUAUGGAAACAUAUUUUCACUAGCAAUAGUGCAGGCAGACAGGUGGUGCAUGGUUGUCGUCAGCUCGUGUCGUGAGAUGUUGGGUUAAGUCCCGCAACGAGCGCAACCCCUAUGAAUAGUUGCCAAUAUUAAGUUAGGAACUCUAUUCAGACUGCCGUGGAUAACACGGAGGAAGGUGGGGAUGACGUCAAAUCAUCACGCCCCUUACAUCUUGGGCUACACACGUGCUACAAUGGCCGGAACAAAGAGCUGCGAAGCAGUAAUGCCCAGCGAAUCUCAUAAAACCGGUCUCAGUUCAGAUUGUGGGCUGCAACCCGCCCACAUGAAGUAGGAGUUGCUAGUAAUCGCGAAUCAGCACGUCGCGGUGAAUGCGUUCCCGGGUCUUGUACACACCGCCCGU